UACGUAGGGUGCGAGCGUUGUCCGGAAUUAUUGGGCGUAAAGAGCUCGUAGGCGGUGUGUCGCGUCGGCCGUGAAAACCUGGGGCUUAACUCUGGGCGUGCGGUCGAUACGGGCAUCACUGGAGUUCGGCAGGGGAGACUGGAAUUCCUGGUGUAGCGGUGAAAUGCGCAGAUAUCAGGAGGAACACCGGUGGCGAAGGCGGGGUCUCUGGGCCGAAUACUGACG
rnacentral:rRNA from 1 species